UGAGUAAAAUAAAGAUAGCCCCUUUGUACGAAAGGAAUUGGGUAUAUUGACCUAUAGUUUACUUGUUGUUUAUUAAUUCUGUAUUUUAACUAAAAUACCUUUAAUGAUUAAUAGGCAUGGCAAGAAAGCCACGUCAGUGAAAGAUAAGAGCUGAAAGCAUAUAAGCACGAAACUUACUUUAUUAUACUCAUAUAUACGUAAUAAAACAUUACGUAUUAGGCUUUAGCUGUACGGAUUUUAAAGUCUUUAGGCAUAAAGUACUAAUAAUUA
rnacentral:ncRNA from 1 species